rnacentral:rRNA from 1 species
AAUGCUUAGGAAUCUGCCUAUUAGUGGGGGACAACAUUCCGAAAGGAAUGCUAAUACCGCAUACGCCCUACGGGGGAAAGCAGGGGAUCUUCGGACCUUGCGCUAAUAGAUGAGCCUAAGUCAGAUUAGCUAGUUGGUGGGGUACAGGCCUACCAAGGCGACGAUCUGUAGCGGGUCUGAGAGGAUGAUCCGCCACACUGGGACUGAGACACGGCCCAGACUCCUACGGGAGGCAGCAGUGGGGAAUAUUGGACAAUGGGCGAAAGCCUGAUCCAGCCAUGCCGCGUGUGUGAAGAAGGCCUUUUGGUUGUAAAGCACUUUAAGCGAGGAGGAGGCUACUUGGAUUAAUACUCUAGGAUAGUGGACGUUACUCGCAGAAUAAGCACCGGCUAACUCUGUGCCAGCAGCCGCGGUAAUACAGAGGGUGCGAGCGUUAAUCGGAUUUACUGGGCGUAAAGCGUGCGUAGGCGGCUUCUUAAGUCGGAUGUGAAAUCCCUGAGCUUAACUUAGGAAUUGCAUUCGAUACUGGGAAGCUAGAGUAUGGGAGAGGAUGGUAGAAUUCCAGGUGUAGCGGUGAAAUGCGUAGAGAUCUGGAGG